ACACUGAUGGUGAAACGGUAUCAUGCUUGCCUUCCACCUCUGAUAGCAAGCGGCGUGGGUUCGACUCCCGCUCAGUGUA
rnacentral:tRNA from 1 species